AUCCUUUCUGGUUCAUAAAGUAUCAUGACUGGGCGUUCCCACUAUUGCGUGAUAUGUGCCACCCAUAAACCUUGUUACAACGUGGGCACAUUACCUGUCUGACA